rnacentral:rRNA from 1 species
UACGUAGGGGGCUAGCGUUGUCCGGAAUCAUUGGGCGUAAAGAGCGUGUAGGCGGCCAGGUAGGUGGGUUGUGAAAACUGGAGGCUCAACCUUCAGAGGUCGACCCAAACCCCCUGGCUAGAGUCCGGAAGAGGAGAGUGGAAUUCCUGGUGUAGCGGUGAAAUGCGCAGAUAUCAGGAAGAACACCCGUGGCGAAGGCGGCUCUCUGGGACGGUACUGACGCUGAGACGCGAAAGCGUGGGAGCGAACAGG